rnacentral:rRNA from 1 species
GAUGAACGCUGGCGGCGUGCUUAACACAUGCAAGUCGAACGGGAAACCUUUUAAUGAAGCUUCGGCAGAUUUAGCUGGUUUCUAGUGGCGGACGGGUGAGUAACGCGUGGGUAACCUGCCUUAUACAGGGGGAUAACAGUCAGAAAUGACUGCUAAUACCGCAUAAGCGCACAGGACCGCAUGGUCCGGUGUGAAAAACUCCGGUGGUAUAAGAUGGACCCGCGUUGGAUUAGCUUGUUGGUGGGGUAACGGCUCACCAAGGCGACGAUCCAUAGCCGGCCUGAGAGGGUGAACGGCCACAUUGGGACUGAGGCACGGCCCAGACUCCUACGGGAGGCAGCAGUGGGGAAUAUUGCACAAUGGGGGAAACCCUGAUGCAGCGACGCCGCGUGAAGGAAGAAGUAUCUCGGUAUGUAAACUUCUAUCAGCAGGGAAGAUAGUGACGGUACCUGACUAAGAAGCCCCGGCUAACUACGUG